GGUCAAACAUCAUUUUCUCCACAGUUUGACGGGUUUCACCAUCCAAAUCAGACAGCUUGCUGUUCUCAGGUUCAACUUUCUGUGUAUCAAUCUCAGGGUCACCUUUGAUCAAACAACUCCACCAAUUCAUUUGAUCUUGCUUGGUCAAGAGUACACACAGAGAUUUUGAAUCCUCUAUGCUCCAAAAGCAAUCAUCAACCUUCACAGUGUGAGGAAGUUCCCCAUCUAUAAUGGGAGGUUGUCCUUUCAGCCCCGCCUUCAGAUGGUUCUUCUUUAUCUCACAUGUGACAAACCUUGAUUUAGUUCCUACAGGAAUUGGAAUAUUAACAGUGACCUCUUGAAGAUUUUGAGU
rnacentral:misc_RNA from 1 species